GGGUGAGUAAGCAAAAAGUCCAAGUUCAACACCGUGUGAGGUUCGUUAUCCUUUGAGAUAGAAGUUUAGUUUAAAAUUCAAAUACUACCUAAAUAUCGAUAAAAUUAAAUCCACAGGAGUGACACUAUUAGCUAGGGUACUGCCCGCACGAGAUUUUGUGCUCUAACCUAACAUUUACUCAUCAUUGCGCUACUACGAGGAUAUAGUCCGUGGCCAAUAAACACCUGAAUUGCUGGCAAGACAUCCGGCUACGAACACCUUAAAAGGAACUAAACAUAAUAUAGUAAUACUCUAUGUCAAACACUUGACACAGAAAUAAGUUUCAACAAUGUGCUAAAAGGCUGCUAAAGUGCUGUGUCGCGAGAAAAUCGCCUGAGUCGAGCUGAACUUCAAAGCUGCUGCAUGCGAAAAAACCAGCCUACAGAAAACCUAGCCGCUGAUGCCAUAGUAAAACCAGACAAUCCGCUUUAGCUCCUACUCCGACAAGCCCGUUUUGAUUGGGUAUGAAGUAUUUUCUCACAUACACCUCUCUUAUACUAGUGUCAGUUUCAUCUUCAGUUCACUUUCUUCCGCUAAUUCUGUAAGCAUCCUUAAAAAACGAGCCAGACAAAUUCAGUAUGCUACUAUAAUUUACACAUCGACAUCAUUGGCGUUGAUUGCAGAGCAGUGGAAGAGGCAUUUUUGUCUUUCAAAGGGGAGGUCAAGAUAAUUGGUCUAUAGACUCUAACAAAGUACAUGGUAGUUAGUACAGAGCGAGGCAGAUACUCUCUAUUAGUCUGUACGGCCAUAUGGCAAGGGCGUUUAAGCAAGCAGACUAUCGAGCGCUCGUUGUGUUUGAGAGACGAAUUCUGCGUUCAAUACUCAGCAGCACAGUAGAAAAUGAAGAAUGGCACAGAUCCAUGAAUAACAAGCUGCACCGAGUAUAUCAACAUGGUGACAUUUGGGGGCUGAUACAACACGGUUGGCUACAGUGAACUGAACAUGUAGCGAGGAUGCCAAAAGAGAGACCAGCUAAAGUUGCGCUCAGAAGUGAAUCUAGAAGAAAUCGUCGACUUCGGGCAGACCCCACAGUAAAUGGUUGUGUGCAAUCGAAAAAGAUGCGCGUGCGUCAGAAGUUCAAGUAUACUAAAGAUUGGCGGCGCCAGAUCGAAUAUCUAUGUUUUAAAAAUAAUAUAUACAUAAGUACAUUAUGUGAAAUUACCAAAU